GGUUGUUAAUGGACUGAAACAGAGAAUCCUGAAGCUGGAACAGCAGUGUAGAGAGAAGGAGAACACUGUGACCAAACUGCAGAGUGAGCUGCAGACCACUAAUCUGGAGGAGUUGAAGAUCACAGUGGAGACCUACUUUGAGGAGAUUCAGAGACUGAGGAUGAUAUUGGAUGUAACAGAGAAAAGGUACCGAAAGUUUAAGAAAAUGUACAUUUUAGUCACUUGGCAGAAGCUCGUAUCCAGAGCAAUUAGGGUUACGUGCUUUGCUCAAGGGCACAUGGACAGAUUAUUU